GGUUCUUUAGCUUAGUUGGUCAAAGCCCCAAGCUCAUAACUCGGUUACCACUGGUUCGAGUCCAGAAAGAACCA
rnacentral:tRNA from 1 species